rnacentral:rRNA from 1 species
CGGGAUGACGAAGAAGGUUAUUAUGCUUUUUGAUUUUUAUUUUUUUUUUAACCAAAGAAAGAAGUUUAAAUGUUCGUUUCAUGCAUGACGAAACAACUAUUCCCUUCCGUACCAGCAGCCCCCAAUAAUACGUAGGGUUGUAGGGUUCUUCCGUAAUUAUAAAAUGUAAAAAAGUUAAUAGGUGCGCUGGCGCAUUAAAAAAUCAAAGCAAAAGUUUUAUAUUCUGAGUCUGCAUACUAUACGGCAAAUUUAAAAUUUGGUAGGAGAGAUAGGAAAUCCGGUUGUAUCAAGUAAAUGCGAAGAUAUCAGAAAGAACACAGGUGGCGAAGGCGGAUUUCAGGUCUCUUACUACAUAUGAGGAGUGAAACCGUGGAGAGUGGGCAUGAAUCGAUACCAUAUUACUUCACACUUCACACGUUAAGUAAUAGUUUGUGGGCAUAUUUCAUGUUGUUCGUGUGUCAGAUAACACACAUAAUUUCACCCAUGGGGAAUGCGGGCGCACGGCUAAAAAUCUAAAGAAUAGAGGGGGGCCUCCACACGAGGGGGAGCACGUGUGUUAUUUUUAGACAAUGCGAAGAACCCUUCCCAGGCUUGACAUUCACCAGAAAGCCCCAGAGAUGGGGUCUUCCUUAUCGAUACUCUACACGUAGGGCAUGGCAGUGCUCUGCUCAUCUCGUGCGAUGUUGGGUUAAUCUAAGCAACGAGAGCAACACAUCUCCUUUCUUCCAUCCCGCCCUUGUGGUGCUGGGAACUCUCGGGAGACCGCCGCUGGUCAACUGGGAGGAAGGGGGGGAGGACGUCAAGUCAUCAUGCCCUUUAUCUCGGGGCUACACACGUGCUACAAUGGCCGAUACAAAGAGCUGCCAUACCGCGAGGAGGAGCUAAUCUCAAAAAACCGAUCUCAGUCCGUAGAGUUUGAUCCUGGCUCAGCACACACCGCCCGUAGAGUUUAUCCUGCUCAGCACACCCGCCCGGUUAUAGGCCCCCUUGAUUUUAUUUU